ensembl:lncRNA
AAACACACCGAAAAGUUUGAAUUAUUUAUUUCCUCUGGGGACUCCUGUAACCAUUUAUUUUUAAUAGAGCCUAAUUAAGAGUUCCCCAGCGGGUUUUACUUUCGUAAAUAUUUCAGAUGAUUUCGAGCUUCCGGGCAAAUCCUCCAGAGGAAAAGGAAAAUGUAAUGAAAGAAGCGAGGCGCGGAGUUUCAGCCCUUCCCUCCCGUCGGCCGAAGCGACAACAAGUGGCCGCCGGGCGCGAGCAGCGCGGCCCCUUCGGAAACGGCCCGGGGGCUCCGAGGAGGAACGAAGUUAAACCGCAACGCGACGGCUCCGGGCCCGGCCGAGGAGCGGCUGUGCGGGACGGGACGCAGCGAGCGGCGGAGCCGCCCCGCACAACCGGCGCGUAAAGAGUACGGAGAGCUCUUCGUUUUAAAGAUAGAAGAAAACGAGGCACAGGGAAAGGAGAUUUUUCGAUCACUUUUUUUUUUUUUUUUUUUUGGAAGAAAUCCGGUAAACAAAACAAACAAACAAAAAAUUAAAACUUUUCUUGGUCUGAUAUGUCAAAACAUCGUUCACAGUAAAAUUCACAAACCGAUUUACAUAAGUUUACAGCUUAAGAAAAACCCAGACACACAACUUGCUAUAAAUAAAAGAAAGGGUUUGCGACCCGCACAGCUCUCUCCCACCGCCCCCUUUCCGUAGGAACAAAACCCUAAAGUUAAAAACUCUACGAAUUGCGGACACGAACCGAGCGGCGCUCGGCAAGGUGGGAAGAACAACACUUUCAGUAACCACAACGAAAAUGUAAACAACGGAACGACUGAGUUUGAAAACAACGCCCGCCGGGUCGGUUUUUCGUUUUGUCAUUGCAACGCUAAAAUGGAACGGGGCGAUGCACCAUCUUUAAGACUCGGAAGCGAACAAAACUACGCCCAACCCCGCGGAGACCGGGAGAGUCGCCGUGGCUUAAGAACUUCGCGGGGCUUUAGGAGGCGGUUGCGCUCUGUUAAAAGAACAGAUUGCCCAAAUCGUUUUUUUUUUUGUACAAAAGAAAAAAGAAAAUGAAGACAACGAACGGAUUUUCUGUUUAAAAUUUCUCCCAAGUUAGUAUCGAGUCUGCUGAGCCGCACGUCCCGGCGCUGGGGUUGCGAUGAGGAGCCGUCCGGAGGAGGCCAGUUCGUUUAUAUGUGAGUUAGUGGUACGGUGCCGUUCACGGCAGUCCCGGCACUCUGGUAGUGCUGGUGCACACUGUGCAACCUGCUGCCCUGCAGGGCCGAAGGGUCUGUGGCGUCGCCCCCCGGGGGCAGGUACAUGCUGAUCAUAUCCCGCAGGUCUCCCAGGCAGGCCCUCUGCGAGUGCGAGGUGAUGGCCGGCGGAGGCGAGCUGGGCUCGGACUUCACCACCGAGCCCAUGGAGCCCAGGCUCAUGGCCGUGGAGGGCUGCUGGCCGUAGGCGGCGGGGGACAUGCUGUAGGUGGAGGCGGCGUUCAUGUAGGUCUGCGCCGUGGACAUCAUGGGGCUGUACUGCAGGCCCGGCAUGUCGUAGCGGUGCAUCUGCUGCAGCUGCGGGCUGUUCAUGCCCGGGUGCUGCCCGUAACCCAGCUGGUCUUGCAUCAGGGAGUAAGCCCCGUUGGUCCAACCGUUCAUAUGGGCGUAAGUGUCAAUCCUCUGGCCCACCCCGACGGGGCUGCUCACCGCGUUGCCCCCUCCGGGGGCCAGCAGGUUGCCCGGCAGCGAGUAUUUGUCCUUCUUCAGCAAGGUCUUGGUCUUCCUCCGGGGCCGGUAUUUGUAAUCCGGGUACUCCUUCAUGUGCACGGCCCGCAGCCUCUUGGCCUCGUCGAUGAAGGGCCGCUUCUCGGCAUCGCUCAGCAGCUUCCAAUCGGCCCCGAGGCGCUUGCUGAUCUCCGAGUUGUGCAUCUUGGGAUUCUCCUGGGCCAUCUUCCGCCGCUGGCCCCGGGACCACACCAUGAAGGCGUUCAUGGGGCGCUUCACCCGGUCCUGGUCCGACCCGGCACCCGCUCCGCUGCCGGCCCCGCCGCCGCCUUUGCCGUUGCCGCCCGGGGCCGGGUUCCCCCCGGCGCUGCCCGGCGUGGGCUGCGGCGUCUUGAUCUCGGUCUCCAGCAUGCUGUACAUGGCCGGGGCCGGUAAGAGAUGCGCCAGGGUGGCAGACGGGCGGGCACAGCUCGGGGAAAGGAAGUUCAAAAAUAAUAAGAGUAAAAGAAAGAACCGGUCCGGGCGGCGGCCGCAGGAGGGGGAAGGAGUUUUCCCGUGCCGCUCCCCGAGGUGCAGCGGAGGUUCCCGCGGGCAGCGCUGAGCGACGCGCACACCUCUCCCAGGGGCAUUUGAUUGACGGGCUAUAAAUGAGAGGGCGGCGGCCAAUCAGCGAGCGGUUCCCGACAGCCCCAACGCCGGUAAUGGGUCGGUUUGGAGAGGACGGGGAUGGGCGAAAAGUUGGUGUUUGGGGACUGCUGGGACCGAACCCCUCCCGCCGCAACCCCCGAGGUGCCGGACCGGCAGCGGGCACUCCGCGGGGUGCGGAGCGGGCAGCGGGGAUCGUGCAGCUGCCGGCGGGGCUGGGAGCCGGGAUGCGGAGCCGGGGUUGCGGAGCGGACGGGAGGACCGCCGCGAGCGGAUCCACGAGUUUGGCGGGCACAAAGAAAUCCGAGGUUUCCGGCUGGAUCCGCCGCCUCGAGACUGUACGAACAGCUGUUCCUGUAGCUCACGCAGCGGAUGAAGGCGACGAGAACUAAAACUUUCGCCUCUGGAGCGGUGUCUGCGUAGGGAAGCCGCUCUGCCCUGUCGGCACCGGGGGCGGCUGCCGGGCGCUCCGUUCAGGUGCCAGGCGGGUGCCCCGCCGCAGCACCGUGCCCCCCUUCGUGUCGCUGAGCCGGGUUGGAUGCCAGCAGGACGCUCCCGGCCCCCCACCCCUCGCCGAACCUCGGCCACUUGUGUUUUUUCCAUUCGGCUGCUCCAGGGGGAGGGUGAAGGGGGAUGGUGCUUUGUAAAAACGGUUUUCAUGGCAACGGCGAAGUUCCCUCCGUGUGAAAGAAAACUUGGGAAAGCUGGGGUGACCGGAGAGGAGCUCCCUGCAGCUGUCAAUCACGGGCUUCCCUUUCCGUCCCUCCCCUCCCCUUCCCUUUCCUUCCCUUCCUCCCUCGGAGGCGCGAACGCCCGCACCUACGCGGCCGGGGCCGGGAGCUCCCGAAAGGCACACAGCCUGUCUGCGCUCUUUCUCCUUCCUCAUCCUCCCGCCGUGUCCCGCUCCAGCUCCGCACGGGCAGAGGCACGGGACAGCCCGUUGCCGGCGGAGAUCCAUCACCGCCGGUGCUUUGCGAUCAAACUGCCCCGGGGGCGCGGGACUGGGCAGAGGGCUCGGAGCAGACGUGCCUGGGCACCCCGUCCCCUCCAGGGGGGGCGGCGAGGAGGGAAGCUGCAGCUUGGCAGCCCUCGCGGACACAUCAUUUAGCAUCCCACGGUCCAAGUUAUUAAAAGGCAAUAUUUCUCUUGAAACAUCACACAUCUCCUCACUGAUGAAUAAGAAGCGUAAGUAUAGAUCGGGAUUUCCAGAUUUCACAGAUUUCACACAGCUCUGCGGUUUUGAUGAGACAUACUUAAAAACGCAGCCGUUUUCUAUUUGCAGAAGAAGGGGUAAGCAGGGCACCCAGCUCGGAACCUCUCGAUAAUGGUUCUGCCGCGAUCUGAACUCUCGAGAGGAGAGGCAGAAGGUGCUGUCCCGCGAAGCCGCGUUCCUCCCCAGCCGCGUGCCAGGGGAGCACCUGCGGCCGGAUUCCCAGGGAGUGGGGCUGAGGAGCGGUGCGGGUCCGGGCAGAACGAAGUGAGGCUCAGCCGUGGCUCUGCCACCAGCAUCACUCUGCUAACGCAAGGGACCCUCUCCUCGGUUGGAAGCUACAGAUCGCUGCUGAGGCAGAGUAGAGAAGGAAGGGAAAGAGAGGCAAGUCCCGCUAUACAAGCUGUUAUUUCCAAAAACGUCUUGCCGAGCGCUUUAAAAAGUCCGAUCCCAGCCCCAGCCUGGUUCCCGGUCCUUCCCGUGAGCAGAGUUGCUGCCAAGCAGGGAAGGGGCAGAAGCAGGAAAGGUGGCAGAGAGCGCCCGGUAUGGGGCUGGGGAGCACCACGCCUGGAUGGAGCCAUUUUCCUAAAUUCCCUCCUCGGCUGUGGUUGGGAUGAGGAGAAGCCGUCCGGGGCUGAGAGCCCCCUGUGCCCGGUGGGAGUUGGAGGCACUCAUAGGGGCGUGAGGCAAAAGCAGGAAUUUACAGCACACUUCAAGCUGAACGUGAGAGAAAGCCCAUGGCUGACAAGGGACAAUCGGCUUCAUAUGCAAUCAGCACUUAAUAAGCAAUAGCCAUUAAUAUCUAUUAAUUGCAGCUCCAUAGAACUUGGGGAGGGGGGUUCUUGGAAGGGGAGAUUGCUGGCUUUUAGAGCAACGCCAAAAAAGCCCCAUUUAAUCCCAUUAUUAAAACAUCCCCCCCGACCCCGAACAUCAGUGGGGCUCAGCCUUCACAGCGAGCCCAGACCUGGAGCUGAGCCCCGUUCGUUUGGUUCCUUCUGACCCUCGCUUGGAUGAUUCCCCAAGAAUAGCCAUGUGAUGCUUAAAAGAAAGGUUCGCGUAUUUCUGCACUUGGACUCUGUUUUAAGAUUUCCCCAAAGUUUCCACAUAGUAACGCAGCUCUCAAGUGGGUCACAUCGGGCUGAUGCUGCAGCUCCAGCUCGCUGGGUUGAGACAGGUUUGUUUUUGUUCCCCUACCAGUGCUGUCACGCCAAACCAACCUCUCCAGCUGCCUUGGACCGAGUUCCCAUUGCAGCUGGGGGUACAAACCACCACAGCCCUGAACGGGUCCCCUAUCCCCGCUGCGGCUUCACCCAUACCCACUGCAGAGCACAACAGCGAUUGCAGCAUCCCUGCUGCUCAUCUGCUCCAAAGCACGAGGGAUACCUUUGAUGAUAUCAUUAAAACCAGCAACAUUUAAAAACAAAAAUCUCACGACCGUGGGUAAAACCCGGGCAGUCGUUUGGGUGCAGCUCGGUUCCUUUGAACCGAGCCUCCCAGUGCACUCAGGGGGCAGCAGCGAAUGUUGUUUUUAAUCACUUUUUCCCCCCAGCUGAACUUUUAUUUGGCUUCUACCAACAAUAGCGGGCUGCAAACAGACCUCUCGGAGCGCCGCUGAAUAGACUCUUUUCUGGCCCGGAUUGUUUCCACCGCCACAAAAACAACCAGGAGCUCCGUGUCUUAAUUGGGCUGUUCCCGGCCCUCGCUCAUUCAUUCAGGUGUUCGCCAGGAAUUUGUUUAUUAGCCUCUGACAAACAGCUCCUCCUGGUAAUCGCCUCAUGGGGUUGGCUUCUGCGGGAGGGGAGGGAUGCGGCGGGGGGGCAUUGCUAAUAAGGACCCCUCAUCUCCAAGUUACCGAUUUACAGAGCUGCAGAGGGGACCACCAACACAGGACGUCUCCCCACGGCUCUCUGUGGAACCCCGCGGAAACGAGAAGAGAAAACACCGAGGGAAAAAAAAAAAAAAAAAAAACGAGCACGAAACCCGGUGCUAAAGACGGCGGCAGGAACUUCGUGCAGCUCCCCCCGCUAUUCCCAGUCCCACACGUCGCCCCCCGAGCGCAGCAGCACCGUCCGUGUCCCGCCCGGUCCCACCCAGCCCCGGGGGACGCGGGCACAGCGCGGGGCGGAGCGGAGCAGAGCGGCCCCUGGUGCCCACGCAGCGCCCUUUGCCGCGGGUGUCCCCAACGGCCCCAAGGGGCUGCGGGUAUCCCCACUCGCGGCGCUUCACCGACCCUUUCCCCCACUCUCCGGUGGCAGCUGAGCGGUCGCAGAAGUCAUUCUCCAGGAAAACAAACCCACUCGAUCACCUAUUUUUUACCCAUCGAUAACUCGGUGAAUCCUUCCCGCAGUGUUUUCUGUUCGGAUUCAGUAACGCACCUCAUUUGCUGGCAAUGAUGGUGAGGCGUCUUGUUUAUGAGUCAUAUUAGAAAUGCGGCAUUAAUUGCAAAACUCUAACUUGCUAAUUAGCCGCAAAUAAACUAUUAAUUAGUGGCAAAUUAAAUCAAAACACAUCUUAUUUCUCCCCUCUGACACACAAUUUUGCAGGCACAUAUUGUUUCAAACUGCAGCCUGUAUCACUGGCACAGCAAAUAGAGAUCCUGAAAGGUUUCUCUUCAGGACAAAUAAUUAAAAUAUAUUCUCCUUUAAUUGACAUUAUAGAGGACACAAAUGAGGUUUUCCUUUUAGAAAUAAAUAGCAGUUUCUAAAUAAAGCUCUGCGGGCUGCAGAAUGGAGGUUUCAACCAAAUGAAUAGUCAUUACUACCUUUUCAAUGAUGUGGGCCUUUUGAUCAGAAAAGAAAUUAGCUCUAAAGGACAGACAAUAGGAAGCCUGCCCUGCAAUAGGAAGAAAAUUAGAUGGCUAAGGCUCUUAACAACACCUAUUUCUAUAAACCAUGGAGCUUCUUGCUUUUCAAUUACAGCUGUUCAUUUCAUAGAAGAAAAGUGGAAAAACACAGGGAAUAUAAACUCUGUUGCACCAAGCAGCCCAAAGCCGGACCGGGAGAGUCUUCCCGUUUCCCUUCCAUUUUAGUAGAAUCAGUUAACAAACACUGUAUGUUUUAUGACACCAAGAGCAUCCAAUAUAGCGUUCUCUAGGUCAAACAAACAAUCAAGAUGGACUAUAAUCAUUAAUUUGGGUAGUUGGAUGUUUCCACUGCACACCAACUAACGUAUUUCACACACACAUCACAUCCUUGUCCUCUUUUCUUGCAGAAAACGAAACAAGAAUGGAGAGCUUGAGGAAAAUGAACUGCUAAAUAACACCACUGCCUUUUGGUUACAGAAAAAUUAAUUUCACUUCCCAUGAAUUGGAAUGUGCAUUCUUUCAUUACACUCCAAACGGAAAGAUUAUUUUAGACUCGUUCUCCACAUAACGCUUUUAACUCAAGCAUCCCAGUUAUUUUAGCAAUCCUACUUUUACUUUCAUUUUAAAACUUAACAAUAACUUCAAUAACUUUAAAAUGUGUUCUCUUUCAAAAUAUUUCAUUUGGAUAUUAUUUUCGGAACACUGUUUUCUUUCUUCCAUUUAAAAUGUUUUCCCACGAGUCUUAGAAAAACAUAUGGAAGCACACCUUUCUUCCUCUAGAACUUCUCCCUACUCAUACCUUCAUGAUGCAAAUGGCUGACAAUUUUCAUUGACUAUGCAUGAUACUGUAAUGGAAAUAAUCUUUCAGUGAUUAUUUGAGUAAGUAACAGCCACGAAGCUUUGUUAUAAACAAGUCCUGUUCUCAUAUUAACUUGUGAGACUAUAAAGAUCUCCUUAGAAAUAAAACAUAACGUCACAAA